CUUGCAGAUGAUAGCGGAAGGAACCACGCGUACCCAUCCCGAACACGGCCGUUAAGCCUUCCAGCGCCGAUGGUACUUGGACCGAAGGGUCCUGGAGAGUAGGACGUUGCCAAGC
rnacentral:rRNA from 1 species